rnacentral:rRNA from 1 species
CCUACGGGGCGCAGCAGUGGGGAAUAUUGGGCAAUGGGCGCAAGCCUGACCCAGCAACGCCGCGUGAAGGAAGAAGGCCCUCGGGUUGUAAACUUCUUUUAUUCGGGACGAAACAAAUGACGGUACCGAAUGAAUAAGCCACGGCUAACUACGGGCCAGCAGCCGCGGGAAUACGUAGGUGGCAAGCGUUAUCCGGAUUUACUUGGUGGAAAGGGCGUGUAGGCGGGCAGGCAA